rnacentral:rRNA from 1 species
AUUGAACGCUGGCGGCAUGCCUUACACAUGCAAGUCGAACGGCAGCACGGGAGCUUGCUCCUGGUGGCGAGUGGCGAACGGGUGAGUAAUACAUCGGAACGUACCCAGGAGUGGGGGAUAACGUAGCGAAAGUUACGCUAAUACCGCAUAUUCUGUGAGCAGGAAAGCGGGGGAUCGCAAGACCUCGCGCUCUUGGAGCGGCCGAUGUCGGAUUAGCUAGUUGGUGAGGUAAAAGCUCACCAAGGCGACGAUCCGUAGCAGGUCUGAGAGGAUGAUCUGCCACACUGGGACUGAGACACGGCCCAGACUCCUACGGGCGGCAGCAGUGGGGAAUGUUGGAAAAUGGGGGCAACCCUGAUCCAGCCAUGCCGCGUGAGUGAAUAAGGCCUUCGGGUUGUAAAGCUCUUUCGGCGGGGAAGAAAUGGCAACGGCUAAUAUCCGUUGUUGAUGACGGUACCCGCAUAAGAAGCACCGGCUAACUACGUGCCAGCAGCCGCCGUAAUAC